rnacentral:rRNA from 1 species
CCUACGGGAGGCAGCAGUGAGGAAUAUUGGUCAAUGGACGCAAGCCUGAACCAGCCAUGCCGCGUGCAGGAAGACGGCCCUAUGAGUUGUAAACUGCUUUUGUACGAGGGUAAACGCAGAUACGCGUAUCUGUCUGAAAGUACCGUACGAAUAAGGAUCGGCUAACUCCGUGCCAGCAGCCGCGGUAAUACGGAGGGUUCAAGCGUUAGCCGGAUUUAUUGGGUUUAAAGGGAGCGUAGGCGGUCUGAUAAGUUAGAGGUGAAAUCCCGAGGCUCAACCUCGGAAUUGCAUUUGAUACUGUCCGGCUUGAGAGUAGUUGCGGUAGGCGGAAUGCAUGGUGUAGCGGUGAAAUGCUUAGAGAUCAUACAGAACACCGAUUGCGAAGGCAGCUUACCAAGCUACUUCUGACGUUGAGGCACGAAAGCGUGGGGAGCAAACAGGAUUAGAUACCCCUGUAGUC